AUGCAGACGCUUAAAACACUUGGAUGUAUGUGAAUAUGUGUAAGUGUUACCUGUUCCAGAAGUGGAAAA
rnacentral:sRNA from 25 species